rnacentral:rRNA from 1 species
CGCUAAUACGUAGGGUGCAAGCGUUAAUCGGAAUUACUGGGCGUAAAGCGUGCGCAGGCGGUGAUGUAAGACAGGUGUGAAAUCCCCGGGCUUAACCUGGGAACUGCAUUUGUGACUGCAUUGCUGGAGUGCGGCAGAGGGGGAUGGAAUUCCGCGUGUAGCAGUGAAAUGCGUAGAUAUGCGGAGGAACACCGAUGGCGAAGGCAAUCCCCUGGGCCUGCACUGACGCUCAUGCACGAAAGCGUGGGGAGCAAACAGGAUUAGAUACCCUGGUAGUCCACGCCCUAAACGAUGUCAACUGGUUGUUGGUCCUUCACUGGAUCAGUAACGAAGCUAACGCGUGAAGUUGACCGCCUGGGGAGUACGGCCGCAAGGUUGAA